rnacentral:rRNA from 1 species
GGCAAUCUGCCCUAAAGACUGGGAUACCACUUGGAAACAGGUGCUAAUACCGGAUAACAACAUGAAUCGCAUGAUUCAAGUUUGAAAGGCGGCGCAAGCUGUCACUUUAGGAUGAGCCCGCGGCGCAUUAGCUAGUUGGUGGGGUAAAGGCCUACCAAGGCAAUGAUGCGUAGCCGAGUUGAGAGACUGAUCGGCCACAUUGGGACUGAGACACGGCCCAAACUCCUACGGGAGGCAGCAGUAGGGAAUCUUCCACAAUGGACGCAAGUCUGAUGGAGCAACGCCGCGUGAGUGAAGAAGGUCUUCGGAUCGUAAAGCUCUGUUGUUGGUGAAGAAGGAUAGAGGCAGUAACUGGUCUUUAUUUGACGGUAAUCAACCAGAAAGUCACGGCUAACUACGUGCCAGCAGCCGCGGUAAUACGUAGGUGGCAAGCGUUGUCCGGAUUUAUUGGGCGUAAAGCGAGCGCAGGCGGAAUGAUAAGUCUGAUGUGAAAGCCCACGGCUCAACCGUGGAACUGCAUCGGAAACUGUCAUUCUUGAGUGCAGAAGAGGAGAGUGGAACUCCAUGUGUAGCGGUGGAAUGCGUAGAUAUAUGGAAGAACACCAGUGGCGAAGGCGGCUCUCUGGUCUGCAACUGACGCUGAGGCUCGAAAGCAUGGGUAGCGAACAGGAUUAGAUACCCUGGUAGUCCAUGCCGUAACGAUGAGCGCUAGGUGUUGGGGACUUUCCCGGUCCUCAGUGCCGCAGCAAACGCAUUAAGCGCUCCGCCUGGGGGAG